AUUGAACGCUGGCGGCAUGCCUUACACAUGCAAGUCGAACGGUAACAGGUCUUCGGAUGCUGACGAGUGGCGAACGGGUGAGUAAUACAUCGGAACGUGCCCGAGAGUGGGGGAUAACGAGGCGAAAGCUUUGCUAAUACCGCAUACGAUCUCAGGAUGAAAGCAGGGGACCGCAAGGCCUUGCGCUCACGGAGCGGCCGGUGGCAGAUUAGGUAGUUGGUGGGGUAAAAGCUUACCAAGCCGACGAUCUGUAGCUGGUCUGAGAGGACGACCAGCCACACUGGGACUGAGACACGGCCCAGACUCCUACGGGAGGCAGCAGUGGGGAAUUUUGGACAAUGGGCGCAAGCCUGAUCCAGCCAUGCCGCGUGCAGGAUGAAGGCCUUCGGGUUGUAAACUGCUUUUGUACGGAACGAAAAGACUCCUUCUAAUAAAGGGGGUCCAUGACGGUACCGUAAGAAUAAGCACCGGCUAACUACGUGCCAGCCGCCGCCGUAACAC
rnacentral:rRNA from 1 species